rnacentral:lncRNA from 1 species
CUAGUUAAUUGAAUCUGCUUUUUACAGAAUCAUAAAGGAGCAGCAGAACACGGGGUGGGGUGGAGGAAGGUGGUCUUAACGUAACGUGACUUUCACUGGUCUCCGGACCUCUCUGGACCAUGUUGUAUUGUUUAUUUCACACUUUCCAUACGAAAAGGUUAGAAUAUUUUUUACGGUCUUGUUCUGAUAGGUGAAAUGUCUCUAUUGUAAACGUACAACCCAGUUGUCAAGAAAAAUUGAUCAUAUAAAUUCAUCUAAUAAGUCACGAGGUACAAGUUCAAGUGUUUAUGAAAUAUGAUUUGAUGCCUAAUAUGUCAGUUACUGUUAACCAAAUAUUACAAUGAUGCCU